GUUUAUUAAUUUUAUAAAAAUUUAUGAUUUUUCAUUUAAAUUUAUAAAAUUAAUACAAAUUUUAGUUUUUUGUUAAAAUUUUUUUUAUUUUAAAAAUAUAAAACAUUUAUUAUUUAUAAAUUUUUGUUUCAUAAAUUUUUUUUAAUAAUAAAUUUUUAGAUAAUUUAGUUUAUAUUUAUAUUUUUUUAAAAUUAUUUUUAGAAUUUUAUGUUUUUAUAAUUUUAUUAUGUUUAAAAUUUUAUAUUUUAUUUUAAUUUUAUUAAUAUUUAUAAUUCAAUUUAAUUUUUAUUAUUAUUUAUUAUAUUAAUAACAUUUUUUAUAAUUUUAUUUAAAUUAGUAUUUUUAUUUUUUAUUUAUUAUUUUUUAGUAUUUAUAAACUUAAUUAUUUUAUUAAAAUUUAAUCUAAUAUAUUUUAUAANAAUUUAAGUAAAUGUUUAUAUUUAUUUAUUAUUUGUAUUAUUAUAAUUUAUUAUAUAUACAAUAUUGAAAUCAUUUGUUUUUUAAUUGUUUAAUAUAAAAGAAUAUGUUAAUUAGGUUAAAAUUUAAUUAUUAAGUUAAAGAAUUUUUUUUUUUUAUUAGAUGAUUAGUCCCUUAAAGUUUAAAAAAAUGGGGUUUGUUAAAAUUUAAAUUAAAUAUUUUUAUUAUAUUUAUUUUAUUACUUAAGGGUUAAUGAAAAAAUUUUAUUUUAAUAAUUUUUUUUAUCUCGUUGUUGUAUAAUUUUUUUUUUUUUUUACAAAAAUUUUUAAUAUAUUUAAUCUGUUCGAUUAAUAAAAAAUUUAUUUAUAUGAGUUUAGAACGGUUUAAGUUAGUUCGGUUUCUAUCUAUAUAAUUAAAAUUUUAGUACGUAAGGAAAAAAUUUUUUUAUUUAUGUAUAAGUA
rnacentral:rRNA from 1 species